ensembl:lncRNA
UCAGUGAUGGAUACAAACCUAUCUGAUGAUGUCUACUGGGCAGGGUUCUAGGUGUCCCUGCUAGAGCAGGGGCUGGGUCAAAGAACCCAGAGGUCUCUGCCAACCUUUUGGUGAUUAUGUGAUUCUGUUUCUGAAACUUCGUCCUCUGUGAAACCUUCAGCAUUUCCACUCUACUUAUGUGGUGAAACUAGAAACAAACAUUUUCAAUGUCAAAGCCCUACAUUUCCCCCUUUGUUAAUGAAAAGUGCUUUUUCUAUAGGACACCGCUGUUUUUCCAUGGAACUUAAAGGAGAAAGCUAUAACAAGUGCUGAGCCAAACCCUACCAAGAAAGGGACCACUUAAUGCUGUCACCAAGCAUUUCCAUUCGACUCCUGGCCAUGUAGCCCUUGUGAAACCCCAUUUGCCUCCCUGCAGGACCAUAUCAUGGCUGCUCACCCCUUCUUGUUUUGCUUACAGACAGUAGAUGCUUCACUUCUGGAAGACUUUGGACACCAGUCUCACUGAGCUAAGUCCCAUAUCUCACGGCUCUUGAUGCACUUCUGAAAGCCAGUCAAAUGCAUGGCCAUUGCUACAGAGAAUCACAGAACAUCGUUUCGGCCCUAUAUGCAUUCAUGGCUUGACUUGGAGAUUCCUAAAAGAGGAAGCACUUCAAAAUGCAAAGGAUUGGCUUGAAUUACUUCAAACUCCUGGGAAUGUCUUCAUAUUGAAGAGCUUUGUGAAGGGAUGGGACCAAAGCUGGAGGAGCAAUUCCAACAUCCCAUACUGGUCAGUCCUGAUAUGAGUGGUAGGUGAAGGCUGAUGGCUCCAACCCUCCACAGCCACUGCUGGUACCAAAAUGAGCUUCAUUUGGAGAUGUGCCAGUGAUGGGAUCGACUGGAUCUGGACACGAGUUGGUGCCACGAUGGCCUCUACAUCUUUGAUACAUCCUGCAUGCUCAAUCUGGACAGAGCAAAUCUAAUUUGACAUUGCAAGAAAUGACACAGUAUUUGUUUCCUCUGAGCUCUUUUUUUUUUUUUUUUUUUUUUUUGUCCAUUGCAACUGAAGAUUAGAGCUUGGAAAAAUCAUUAAUCAGUGGUGACCAGAGGGAAUCAUGCAGCUCGUCAUAUCUGUGUCAUCACAGCUAUUGACAGAGCCACCACAAAAAUGGCACAACAAAUCUAAAUGAUACCAGGCAGGAGCUAACAAGAUGAAGGUCAUUAUAAGCCCGGUGCUUGAUUUGGGUUUAAAGCCACAGGCUGGGAGCCAUCCUCAGGACCCAUCUGGUUGCAGAGUUUAAAACUGCUCAAGCAAACAACAGAACUUUCCAACAACUAAUACAACUUCUGGACAAUUCCUGGAUAUUACUGAAAUAACCAAUCAAAGAUACACGCCUUCCUAUUAAAAAAGGUUAAUUUUGUGCAAGGACUUCUAAUGCAGAUGCAUCUGAGAGGACGACUCUGUGUCAGUGCUGCAUCUACAAGCCCAGUGCUGGAGACUCUUGUCAUUACCCUGUGUAAUAAUUUUCCUGAAGUCUGGAACUAAUUUUUAGAGAAAUUUUUUUUUCUCAACACUUUGCGUUUCUAAUGCUGUAUUCUUGACUGUGUAAAUACAACCAGGCUGUAAAUAAGUGCAGAUGUAGAUACCUUCUAGAAAAAAAAAGAAGAAGAAGAAGAAGAAAAGAAAAAAAAAAAAACACCAACAAAAUUGAGCAGGCAGAAGUGACCGUGUGUAGCCUUCGGUGACAAAUAAAAGACUAUUUUG